AUGGUGCUGCUUCCAGUCCUUCUUGCAGCUUCACUGUGGGCCCGUGGAGACGCGCAGGCGGUGCCGGUGCAAACCCCGGAGCUGCAGAGGCCGGUGAAGGGCAGCUCUGCCAGCAUGGCGUGCCGAAUGACGGCCCAAGCCACCGUGCACUGGUACAAGCAGCUUCCCGGAGAGCCGCCAAAGAGGAUACUGUACGUGUCAGGACAGUCACCUGUUUUUGAUGACAGAGGCGAUAGUGGGAGAUUUCAAGUUCGGAAAAAGCCUACUGAGCCCGUCUAUGCUCUCACAAUAGAUUUUUUAACCCCGAGGGAUUCUGGCACUUACUACUGUGCAUACUGGUUUUCUCAAGGCAUCACAGCGUUAGAUGGGCAAAGAUAA